UGGGGCCGCCCUCCUCCCGCCGGCCCGCGCGGCGCUCGCCUUCCCCGGCCGCCGCGCCGCUCGCGAGCUCUGCGCUGCCGGUUCCCACCCGCAGUCCCCGGGCGUCCCGGCCCACUCGUGGCGGAGUCGGCUCGUGCCGCUACCUGCAGGGGCCGCCGCGCCUCUCAGCGCCCCGCCGCCGCCAUCUUGCAUUUCAAACCGGCUGCACUUUUCAGGGAGUCAACUCUGACCUGUGAACCCUACACCCGGAACCGCUCGGCGGGCCGGCACACGGCCUAGGCAGCUCGGCGGGCCCUGCAGAGCGUGGAGGGUCGGGGGUGGGGGUGCGAGGCGAGGCGCGCGCCCCAGCGGCCGACCGGGGGCGGGGAGGGAGGGAAGGAGCCGGCCGAGGCGGGGCCCUCCCGCGCGCGCGCCGUCCGCGCGCCCCCACCCCGCUCCGCGCCAGGCUCUCUACUCACGGACCCGGCUGCUCCCCUGGGGUUCGACCCGGGUCUCUACCCUCUGGAUUGGCGCACGGGGAGGUAGGGAACCGCCCCGCCCCUCUGUCAACAGAAUCCCCGCCCCGGCCGGCUCGGAAGCCCCGCCCUCUGUCAGCAGAAGCCUCGCCUCCUCCAGGUCUCGAAGCGGCCCCGCCCCUUGCGGGCGGUAGCUCCACCCACCAACAGAAGACUUGUCUUUACUCAGCCUCAUCUCCUGGUGGCAGUCCAUCCAAGCCCCGCCCCUUCAUCGGAAUCCCCGCCCACUGUCAAAAGAAGCCCCGCCUUGCUGAGACCAGUCUGGAUUCCAGCCCGAAACCCCACUUUCUGUCAACCGCCGGCCCGCCUCUUCUCGCCUGCGGGUGCCUACCCCAGCACAAACCGCAGCUCCACCCGCUGACACCGAAAGUUCAGUUCAGCCUCACUUCGAACUGCAGUUGAAGACGGAACCACCCUUUGCUUCCCAAAGUCCUCCUUUUCCCCCAUGCCUGCCCCUUCCCCCCUCUCCCCCCACCCGCCGCCCCGCUCACGAGCCUCUCCGCUGAAGGGCUUUCUUUUAAAGAUAUGGUCUUCACCGGACAGCUUCAAUGGGAGCUAGUCCCGAAGAAGAUGCCAGCCAAGGACCCAGGCUUUGGGGAAAACCGGACGGCGUCACCGCCCCUCCUCACCUCCGCUUCCCUUCCCCCACCCCCACAUCCUUUUUAAAAUUAUGAAACGUGCAAACCAAAGCGGAGAGAAACGUCUCACCCUCCAAGCUGCUCUGCACAGAUUCAUGGGCCUGGACGCUCAACCCUCUGUGCUUUGACAGUAGUACUCCACUGAGCCACAUUAAUCCUAAAAUGUGCAGUUGCUUAAAGUACAACCCUGAUUGUUGAAAUCGAUAUACAGCAGUUUCUUUUUAUUUAUAUGUUUUGUCUUAGAAUCCUAGAACUUGGGGAAACAGAAGCAAGUGAAGCUUAAUGAUCUUAUAAACAGAGAUACUCAACCCUACCAUACCCAACAUCCUGUAUUUACAACAAAAAUGUACCACCACUUUGCUCUCCUGGAAUUAAAUUCGCAGAUAAUGUAAACUACACAAAUAAGUUCAAUAAACCAGUGUAUGUUAUAAAGGUGGAAAAAGAG
rnacentral:lncRNA from 1 species